CGCUCGUCACUUCUCGGAACCAACCAGGACGAAGCUGCAUACGCCGAUAAAUGUUGUUAUUAACUGUGGGAAAAUGUGUGGUUAUGGAUGCAGUAGCAGAUAAUACAAACAAUAAGGAAGCAACAGAGGUCUGGUAGCGCUUUUAAUCUGAUCUGAUAACUAAGGAUAAUUUAAAAGGAGAACAUGGCACCUGUUAAAACAUGCUUUGCAUGUGGGUGUGAAUCAACCUACAGACAGACCAGGAAUUCAAUUUUCCAAGGAAUUCACCACGGCCACCACGGCAUGACACGUCCUCAGGUUGUGGAUGCAGGAACACCCUCCAGUUAUGGAGCUUGGCUGCAAAUACAGAGUGUCCGGAUGAAAGAAAAGACCGUGAUCGGACGUUCAUACUUGGACGUGCUGGAGCUGUAUGCGCUGCCCCAAUUACCACCUCAAACUAUCCUCCAACAAGAUGGGGCGCCGCCACAUUUCUGAUUUGUAGUGCCGCCAGGGGAGCCCACAUUGAAAUUUACUGAGGAAGUUAUAUACUCAGAAAAAAACUUUCAAAGUUUUCCUUUCCGAUGACAUAAACCGGAUACGUGUUUGACAAUUAGUUUCCGAGAUAUAAAUUUUUUAUUUUGGAUACCUUUCAUCCGGACACUCUGUAUAAUGAAUAAGCAGUCGCAGACAGCCGACAAGGAGCGGUCCUCCAGCUUGGGGGUUGGGCGUAAGGAUAACAACUUUUCACCAUAAAAAACUGUCUUGUCAUAAAUUUUUUUACCAAGCCUUGUAUCCAGACAGACUCUUUCUGGACCAUAGCAAUUGAAAAAAGGAUGUGAGAUUUGGAAUAUGGAAUGUUAGGAGCCUCUAUAGGACUGGGGCACUUAAAUCAGUGAGUAGGGAAUUAGGGAAUUAUAAGUUAGAUUUAGUGGGAGUGCAGGAAGUGCGAUGGGAGGGGGAGGGCACGAUCCCAGUGGAAAAUUUCACGUUUUUCUAUGGAAAGGGGAAUGAUAAUCAUCGUUUAGAGACAGGUUUUUUGUUCAUAGCAGAAUUAGGGCAGCAGUUAGGAGAGUAGAAUUUGUUAGUGAUGGGUUAUCUUACAUAAUUCUGGAAGGAUGUUUGUGCGACAUUAUUACCCCUAAUGUUCAUGCUCUAACUGAGAAUAGAAGUGAUGAUAUCAAGGAUAGCUUUUAUGAAGAAUUAGAAUCAGUAUUUGAUACAUUUGGCAAGUAUCACAUGAAAAUUCUGUUGGGAGAUUUCAGUACAAAAAUUGCGAGGGAGGAUAUCUUCAAACCCACAAUAGGCAGCGAAAGUCUGCAUGCACUUAGUAAUGAUAACGGUGUUAGAGCAAUAAACUUCGCUACGUCAAAAGAUUUAAUUGUAUAAAGUACAAAAUUUCCACACCGUGAUAUUCAUAAAUACACUUGGACUUCUCCAGAUGGCAGCACGCACAAUCAAGUAGAUCAUGUUUUAGUAGAUAAGAGAAGGCAGACAAAUGUAAUUGAUGUGAGGUCAUUCAAGGGAGCAGAUUGUGACAUUGACCAUUAUCUGGUAGUAGCAAGUGUGAGGGAGUGGCUGACAUGUUAGUAUCCUGUCAGCAGACAGGUGAGUAAAAUCAUGUUAGGGUAGCUAAUAAAUCCUUUGAAAGUGUGAGAAUAACAAAUCAAAAUGAUGUUCAUGAGGAAAUUAGGAGGAGACCAGAUUCCAGAAAUGCUUACUACUUUCAGUUCAAAAUAUUUUUGCCUGUUUUGUAUGGGUGUGAAACAUGGUCUCGGACUCUGACGGAAAAACACAGAUUUCAGGUGUUUGAGAAUAAGGCAUUGAGGAUAUUUGGGCCUAGGAGAAAACUGCAUAAUGAUGAGCUUGAAAAUAUGUACUCCUCCCCCAGUAUUGUCAAAAAGAAUGAGAUGGGCGGGGCAUGUA